rnacentral:rRNA from 1 species
UACGGAGGGUGCAAGCGUUAUCCGGAUUCACUGGGUUUAAAGGGUGCGUAGGAGGGCAGGUAAGUCAGUGGUGAAAUCCCCGAGCUUAACUUGGGAACUGCCGCUGAUACUAUCUGUCUUGAAUGCUGUGGAGGUGAGCGGAAUAUGUCAUGUAGCGGUGAAAUGCGUAGAGAUGUGGAGGAACACCAAUGGCGAAGGCAGCCUUCUGGGCCAACACUGACGCUCAUGCACGAAAGCGUGGGGAGCAAACAGG